UACGGAGGGUGCGAGCGUUAAUCGGAAUUACUGGGCGUAAAGCGCGCGUAGGUGGCUUGAUAAGCCGGUUGUGAAAGCCCCGGGCUCAACCUGGGAACGGCAUCCGGAACUGUCAAGCUAGAGUGCAGGAGAGGAAGGUAGAAUUCCCGGUGUAGCGGUGAAAUGCGUAGAGAUCGGGAGGAAUACCAGUGGCGAAGGCGGCCUUCUGGACGGUUACUGACGCUGAGACGCGAAAGCGUGGGGAGCAAACAGG
rnacentral:rRNA from 1 species